rnacentral:tRNA from 2 species
GCCGUUGUAGCUCAGUUGGUAGAGCAUCUCCAUGGUAAGGAGAAGGUCACCGGUUCAAGUCCGGUCAACGGCUCCA